AUCGCUUGAACCUGGGAGGCGGAGUUUGCAGUGAGAUGAGAUGGAGCCAUUGCUCUCCAGCCUGGGCUACAGAGCAAGACUCUGUCUCAAAACAAAACAAAACAAAACAAAACAAAAAGAUGAGCAACUUGAAUUAUGGAGGACACUAGAAAUAGUGUUUCCUACAGAAUCAGGGCUUCCUACCAACAUAGUCACUUCUAGGGUUUUCGACCUGAAAAGUUCUGUGGCAUAUUGUUUCUUUGCUAUCCACUUUUUUUUCCCUAUUUUUCCCCCUCUUUCUCUCCUCUACUUUAUCUCCUAGAGAUCUAGGUAGUUCCCAAAGGAAUAAUGCUUUACGGAGUCUAAUGUUGAUUUAUUAGGUAAAAACAGAAAAUGACUUUUUUUUUUACCCACAAGUUCCAUACCAAAAAAUGAAUGUAAACUUCUUAUGCAGUUUCACACAUUGAAAAUGCAGGUUAUUUUAAUUCCAUUGCAUUUUUCAGAAUUCUCAAUCGCAAUCCUCUGACAACUGUUGAAGAUCCGUAUCUCUUUAAAUUACUGGCAUUAAAAUAUCUUACAGAAUUUUUUACUGGGGUUCAUAUCAUGAAUGUUUCGGCUUUCUUCUUCAGAGACGUGGGAACAACGCAAGUCCCACUUACAACACUUAAGAACAUUCUCAUGAUGACCGUUGAACUGGAAAAACUCCCCAGCAGACCACAGGAGGUUGGCCCCAGACUCACUGAGUGCCUGCAGCAGCCCUACAGACACAGCAUCCUUGGCCACCUCAUGCCCAU
rnacentral:lncRNA from 10 species